GAUAGACCUACAGUGAAGCUCUGCAUAAACUCUUAUUCCAGUGGGACUUGUCCAAAGGUCAGAUAAAAGCAUUUUGAAUGCAGAUUUUUGAGGUUUCUC